rnacentral:tRNA from 1 species
UUAAUUGAAGCCAAAAAGAGGCUUAUCACUGUUAAUGAUAGAACUGAGAUUCAUGCUCCAAUUAAA